rnacentral:sRNA from 1 species
UCAACAAUGAGAUGACCGUGCUAGAAUGUGAUCUGAACUUACUGUCAGGCAUUAGAUACAAGCUCAGGAAGAAACCACUGCGUUUUAAUGAAAUCACCUCCAAAAAAGGUCAUGAAAUUUUCAGUGACGCCAACCUAUUAGAACUCCACAGAAGGAAGAUUGCCAAAGACAUCAAGAGGCAGAAACACAAACAGCCCCCACAAGACUUCAGUUACUUGAAGGUCGCCAA